rnacentral:rRNA from 1 species
UUAUGACCUGGGAUACACACGUAUUACAAUGGCCGGUACAACGGGCUGCGAAACCGCGAGGUGGAGCCAAUCCCAACAAAGCCGGUCUCAGUUCGGAUUGCAGGCUGCAACUCGCCUGCAUGAAGUCGGAAUUGCUAGUAAUCGCGGAUCAGCAUGCCGCGGUGAAUACGUUCCCGGGUCUUGUACACACCGCCCGUCACACCACGAGAGUUUAUAACACCCGAAGUCGGUGGGGUAACCGCAAAGGAGCCAGCCGCC